rnacentral:rRNA from 1 species
AGGAUGAACGCUGGCGGCGUGCCUAAGACAUGCAAGUCGAGUGGGUUUAGACCCACGGCGAACGGGUGAGUAAUACCUAGGAACUUUCUUUAAGUGGAGCAUAACCAGUCGAAAGAUUGGAUAAUACUUCAUGUGGCAGUAAUGCUAAAGUCGCAAGACGCUUAAAGUGAGGCCUGGGCACCAUCAGCUAGUUGGUAAGGUAAUGGCUUACCAAGGCUAUGACGGUUAGGGGUCCCGAGAGGGAUAACCCCCACACUGGAACUGCGACACGGUCCAGACUCCUACGGGAGGCAGCAGUUUGGAAUUUUGGACAAUGGGCAAAGCCUGAUCCAGCGACGCCGCGUGGACGAUGAAGGCCUUCGGGUCGUAAAGUCCUUUUGCUCGGGAACAAUAUUUUGAGCGUACCGAGAGAAUAAGAGGUUGCUAACUCUGCGCCAGCAGCCGC